CUUUAAAAACAGUAUAUUUUAAGCACAUUUUGAAAGUAUAUGGGGUGUACAAGUAUAUUAUUUUAUGGAGAAAUAACGUGGGCUUAAAAUUACGAGAGAGCAGUAUGUUCUGUUACAUUUUAUAUUGUAGAUGUAUACAUUUGUAAUAUACUAUUAACAUAAUAAGGUACACUUUAACUUCACUAUAGUCAAGCAUUGGAUAAACCAAUGAACUGUGUUUUACCACAAAAUGACCAUGGUUUUGCUAAUAAUAAUCAAUACACCAAAAAAAAAAAAACAUGGUUACUAAACUUUUGCCACAAAAAAACAUUCAUUUUCGUAAGGGGAAUAUGAGUGUUUGUUUUUUUGUAGUUUUUGAGUCAAUUGCAUACCGCUUUUAGCUGUACACAUUAAUUAACUUAAACAGUUUUCGUAAAUGCAUUUCAGAGAAAAGUGAAUUCUGAGAUUUGAAUAAUGCAUCUGACGUGUGGGAUGACGUCACGACGCACGUAUUUUGAUUUUUACCAGUCGCUCAAGACAGACGGAUUCAGUCCCAAGAAGCUAAAGUUUUUCAAAGACAUUUGUAGGGAGGACUUUGCAGCUAAUGAUUUCCUAAGCCUGAACCAAAACCUGCCAGACUAAAGUUGAUUUGGGAGAGAAAGACGUUGUAAACUUAAUCAUCUUGACAUUCUUCAAUGAGUAAUUGUUCAAUUUUUAGGCAAAUACUGUACACUUUGAAUGCUGUGAAUAAAACUAUAUUUUAAAUAUAUUUAAAAUGAA